GAGGACGUAGCUCAAGUGGUAGAGCACAUGCUUAGCAUGCACAAGGUCCUGGGUUCAAUCCCCAGCACCCCCA
rnacentral:tRNA from 1 species